UGCUGUGUUGGGAUGUGCACAAUGUGACUUCACAUCUUGGCUAUCACCCUAAAAAACAUGGAAGACACCCAGCUUCUUGGAACCUCAUUGUCUGUGACAGAGCUGAGCUCCUGAGGUUCCYGCUCAGGCUGAUAAUGGCCUACCAGGGUUGAGCUACCAGAACAGCAGCACGGACGGACAACACGACGUCACCAAUCUGGGAAGAGACCUGUCACCACUGA